rnacentral:rRNA from 1 species
AUGCAGCUGGAUGAUGCGUGUUGCAGGAUCACAGAUAGUGCAGGCAUUGGUGGUAAUCUGCUUCUACUUUCUGUAUGGAGCUGGGAGCGUCUGUCUGUUGGACGCUCGAAGAGCGUCAGGUUUAAUCCUUGGUAUGAAGAUGAACAUGACAAAUUACGGAGCCCCACUUGGGCUUACAAGUGGGAUGUGGUUUCCGAGAUGACGAACGAUGUCAAUCUCAUGUAA